rnacentral:rRNA from 1 species
UACGUAGGGCGCAAGCGUUAUCCGGAAUUAUUGGGCGUAAAGAGCUCGUAGGCGGUUUGUCGCGUCUGCCGUGAAAAGUCCGGGGCUCAACUCCGGAUCUGCGGUGGGUACGGGCAGACUAGAGUGAUGUAGGGGGAGACUGGAAUUCCUGGUGUAGCGGUGAAAUGCGCAGAUAUCAGGAGGAACACCGAUGGCGAAGGCAGCUCGCUGGGACGGUACUGACGCUGAGGCGCGAAAGCGUGGGGAGCAAACAGG